CUGGUAGAAAAGAGGUAUGGAGUGCUUUUGCGCAAAAACUUUAUCGUUAGAUUAUAAAUAUGUUUCCUGAUUUAUAUUGGACACUACGAGAUGUACAAUGCAGGGGAUCGUGCAGCAUCUUUUGCACAGAGUAAUGUGAAAGUUGGUAUUAUGAAGAUGAUCUGGAAAGACUGACUUAAAGUGAUCUGUGGCAUCUUGUGUGCACAGUAAUGUGAAGUUCAGUGUUAUGAGAAUGAACCGGAAAGCCUGGCUUGAAGGUAUGAGCUACUUGUUGUGUGAAUUUAUGGCAUGCAUUUCCCUUUAAAACUGCCCAUUUAAGACUGAUUGUGUUUUAAGUGGCCAACACAGGAGGGUAGACUAUUUCAAUCAUAAACCUGAAGCAGAGGCCAAAUCCCCGUUUUAGAUCCUGUCGGGAGGUACAUAUGAAUCGGCAUUUUUACAUUGCUCUGGCUUUAUUGCAGCCACCUUCAUGGUUUAAGACAUGUUUGUAUAAGACAAAAAUACUUAAGUUUGUGAUUUUAUCGUUAUUUUUUAGAUGGCACUUAAGACCAGUGUUAACAGGUAAGCAGUUCUGCAUUGCUGUGAAUUGCAUAAAACCUAACAUGGUGAUCAUUUGCCAAGUGGGGGGGCGUGGGAUAUAUUUGGUUUUUAAAUGGCUUUCGGCUAAGGACCCUAAACAGUAGUUUUAAAUAUUUAUUGUCAACUCUUUGGACAUUCUAUUCACUUUUAUAUGCACAUGCUUGUAAAAUAAACACAGAAUGUAGCUUAAUUUUCCAAUGUUUCAGGAACCACAGGCAACUUGUCAUGAAGGUGUGAGAUUAUGUUGACUUCCAUAGAAUUAAUGAACGAUGAUAUGAUGUACUUUAUUGUGUGGAUUUGUGACAUGCAUGUAAGUGGUCAACGCAGGGGUAGCCUAGUUAUCUCUAAACCUGGAACGGAGGCGAAACCCUUGUUUUGAAAUCUGUCGAAGUACAAAUGUUAUCAUGCCACAAAUGGUCCACUUGUAUGACUUUCUAUAUGAAUUAAGUUAAUUUAAAGGGAAUAUUAGAGAAUAUACAUUGUGUAUUUAAUAGUGUUUUGAGAGGUUGAACCUGCAAACAGGCAAUGUAGAAGAAAUGUACCCCAUUCACACUAAAACCACCUGGAAUUCAAAGAGAACCAAAUUAAAAGCAGUACUACUCUGAAAAUGAUGGCUGUCUCCGAUGAAAAUAACACCAGGGCUGCUGUCAAUGGUUGUUUCCAACUUGCUGCCAAUGUAAUUAAGUUGUAAAAAUGGCUUUCAGUUAAGACUAAUGUGCUGGUGUACAAACCACUUAUUUUAUUUUUCUUUUGGUGUAAUAAAGAAUGCUCUAUCCCAGCAUGGUCUUGUGCUAUAAGAAGAUUUGUAUCGCAAGGCCGGGCUUUUAAAUAUGAUGUAUAAUGUAUUUUGUCCCCUUAAGGCUUUGCCCAUUUAAGGCUGACUGUUCCUUGAGCGGCCAGCAUGGGGGUAGAAUAUUUCUCUUAUAAACCUGAAGCAGGGGCUAAAUCUGUUUUUGGAUCCUGUUGGAAGGUACCAAUGUUCAUACCCUUGCAUGGAAUUAAAGUAUACAAACCUUGCACGCUGGGGUCUUUUGGAAUUUGCUAGAUUUCAUUUACUGCCUGAUAAAGAAUUCAGCAAUACUACUGAGAAUGCAGUUUUGUGAUCAUAUAGAACAUAAUUUACAUGUAGCAUGUGUGGAAAGACGGUGUAUAUAAUGUGCAUCUAUAAUAGAGUGAAGCACGUGUUGCAGGUUUUUGCACAGCAACAUUUACUGUUCAUUAUUCCUUAGGACUUGCCUGAAAACAAUGGUAAAUUGGUCUUGUUUUACAGACUGGUAUCCCAUGGCUGUUUGAGUUUGCAUGAUUUCUAAAAUGUUUUAUUCAGAAACCUAAAAUAAACUCUUAUUCUACUGUAUGUGUGUCCAGUGCUUCAGUUUAUUUGGGUGAAUGUGGUUUGGAAGUUUACAGUGCGUAUCAUAAUCCAGGUACAAUAUUGUGGAGGUGUUUUAUGGAAGUUACACUUUACAGAACCACUUCUUCAAUUAUGCAACGUAAAGGACAUUCUUUAUCAUAAGUCACUGAGUACAGUAUUAUAAUCAUUGGGUGUAUAGGUGGAGUCCUGACCAUCUGUAUGUGCCAUUUAUUAACCAUUCCAGGCACGGGUGCGGGGUUGUAUGAAAUGUCAAGAGCUAUAUACUCUCCAAAUGAACCAAAAAAGAAUUACAGCAAGGUGUUUAGUAAGUCAUUGACUUCUGAUUGGAUUGCUUCAACUGAUGAAGUCUAUGUUUUUAUCUGUUUACUUGUUUUUUUAAUGAAUUAAUUAAACAAUAUGUUCAUACUAAAGGGGUGUUCACACAGGAGGUAGCGCAGCAGCAGCAAUUAUUUUUAACGAAGUUGGUCACACACAGCAGCACCAGAGCGCCACACAGGAAAUAAAAUAUUUUUAAUUUUCGUUGCAUCGUGACAUAAACUACCAGCAGCCAAUCGGGAAAGUAGGAGGCUGCUUUGCGAAGAAGAAAUAAAAUGGAGGAAAAGCUUGUAGUUUUGAUUUCAGAUUUUCUGCAGUUGUAUAAUACAACAUUAAAUAGUUAUAGAGCUAUCAAUGAAAAAGCUGCUGCAUGGAGGGAUGGCUGGGGGGAGGGGGGUAAAAUUAUGUUUUAUAGAAAUAUAUAUGUGUUUU